UCUGCCUAGUAGUGGGGGAUAACUUGCCGAAAGGUAAGCUAAUACCGCGUACGUCCUACGGGAGAAAGCAGGGGAGCCUUCGGGUCCUUGCGCUAUUAGAUGAGCCUAGGUCGGAUUAGCUUGUUGGUGAGGUAAUGGCUCACCAAGGCGACGAUCCGUAGCUGGUCUGAGAGGAUGAUCAGCCACACUGGGACUGAGACACGGCCCAGACUCCUACGGGAGGCAGCAGUGGGGAAUAUUGGACAAUGGGGGCAACCCCGAUCCAGCCAUGCCGCGUGUGUGAAGAAGGUCUUCGGAUUGUAAAGCACUUUAAGUUGGGAGGAAGGGCUUACGGCUAAUACCCGUUAAGUUUUGACGUUACCAACAGAAUAAGCACCGGCUAACUUCGUGCCAGCAGCCGCGGUAAUACGAAGGGUGCAAGCGUUAAUCGGAAUUACUGGGCGUAAAGCGCGCGUAGGUGGUUCGUCAAGUUGGAAGUGAAAGCCCUGGGCUCCACCUAGGAAUUGCUUUCAAAACUGGCGGGCUAAAGUACGGUAGAGGGUAGUGGAAUUUCCUGUGUAGCGGUGAAAUGCGUAGAUAUAGGAAGGAACAUCAGUGGCGAAGGCGACUACCUG
rnacentral:rRNA from 1 species